AUUGAACGCUGGCGGCAGGCCUAACACAUGCAAGUCGAGCGAGCGGCGGACGGGUGAGUAAUGUCUGGGAAACUGCCUGAUGGAGGGGGAUAACUACUGGAAACGGUAGCUAAUACCGCAUACCAUCAGAUGUGCCCAGGUGGGAUUAGCUAGUAGGUGGGGUAACGGCUCACCUAGGCGACAAUCCCUAGCUGGUCUGAGAGGAUGACCAGCCACACUGGAAGUGAGACACGGUCCAGAUGCCUACGGGAGGCCGCAGUGGGGAAUAUUGCACAAUGGGGGCAAGCCUGAUGCAGCCAUGCGGCGUGUGUGAAGAAGGCCUUGGGGUUGUAAAGCACUUUCAGCGGGGAGGCGUUACCAGCAGAAGAAGCACCGGCUAACUCCGUGCCAGCAGCCGCGGUAAUUC
rnacentral:rRNA from 1 species